rnacentral:rRNA from 1 species
GACGAACGCUGGCGGCGUGCCUAAUACAUGCAAGUCGAACGCAGUGGGGACGGUUGAGUAACACGUGGGUAACCUCCCAUCAGAGGGGAUAACACUUGGAAACAGGUGCUAAACCGAUACUGAUGGAUGGACCCGCGGUGCAUUAGCUAGUGGGUGAGGUAACGGCGCACCAAGGCCACGAUACAUAGCCGCUCUGAGAGGGGGACUGGCAACACUGGGACUGAGACACGGCCCAGAAUCCUACGGGAGGCAGCAGUAGGGAAUAUUCGGCAAUGGACGAAAGCCUGACCGAGCCACGCCGCGGGAGUGAAGAAGGUUUUCGGAUCGUAAAACUCUGUUGUUAGAGAAGCGGUAUCUAACCAGAAAGCAACGGCUAACUACGUGCCAGCCGCCGCGGUAAUAC